GAGAGUUUGAUCCUGGCUCAGAGUGAACGCUGGCGGUAGGCCUAACACAUGCAAGUCGAACGGCAGCACAGGAGAGCUUGCUCUCUGGGUGGCGAGUGGCGGACGGGUGAGGAAUACAUCGGAAUCUACUUUUUCGUGGGGGAUAACGUAGGGAAACUUACGCUAAUACCGCAUACGACCUACGGGUGAAAGCAGGGGAUCUUCGGACCUUGCGCGAUUGAAUGAGCCGAUGUCGGAUUAGCUAGUUGGCGGGGUAAAGGCCCACCAAGGCGACGAUCCGUAGCUGGUCUGAGAGGAUGAUCAGCCACACUGGAACUGAGACACGGUCCAGACUCCUACGGGAGGCAGCAGUGGGGAAUAUUGGACAAUGGGCGCAAGCCUGAUCCAGCCAUACCGCGUGGGUGCCCAAGGCCUUCGGGUUGUAAAGCCCUUUUGUUGGGAAAGAAAUCCAGCUGGCUAAUACCCGGUUGGGAUGACGGUACCCAAAGAAUAAGCACCGGCUAACUUCGUGCCAGCAGCCGCGGUAAUACGAAGGGUGCAAGCGUUACUCGGAAUUACUGGGCGUAAAGCGUGCGUAGGUGGUCGUUUAAGUCCGUUGUGAAAGCCCUG
rnacentral:rRNA from 1 species